UACGUAGGGGGCUAGCGUUGUCCGGAAUCAUUGGGCGUAAAGAGCGUGUAGGCGGCCCGGUAAGUCCGCUGUGAAAGUCGGGGGCUCAACCCUCGAAUGCCGGUGGAUACUGUCGGGCUAGAGUGCGGAAGAGGCGAGUGGAAUUCCUGGUGUAGCGGUGAAAUGCGCAGAUAUCAGGAGGAACACCCGUGGCGAAGGCGGCUCUCUGGAACGCAACUGACGCUGAGACGCGAAAGCGUGGGGAGCAAACAGG
rnacentral:rRNA from 1 species